UCCCGCCUCUAGACCAACUUAGUUGUGAGAAAGUCUGUAUCUUUAGAGGAGGUAGCCAUAUGACUGUAUCAUUUAUUGAUAUUCUCCUAAUUAGUGAUUAACUGACGGUUCUUAGCAGGAUUGGGCUAAAUGCUGAAAUAAAAACCUGAGGUGAAGAACUAUCUUUCCCUGCAGUAGAAGUCCAUGUGAGAGGAGAGAGCUGUAUGAUACUAGAAGGACAAGACACCAAUAAGGGGCUCACAGCAGGUGGGCUUUUCUCCUAUCCAGAGCACCAACUGAAACAGACAGAAUGAACAGAGCACGAGGACUGUGUUUCACUUUACUACUACUGGGGUGUGUACAUGGGAGCAAGUCUCCUCAAAGAGAAGUGGUAUUCAGUAGAGGGAUCCAACUCUUUGUUGAAGGUUUGAACCCUUCUAAUCCCUCUGUAGUAAUCCUCUCCUCAUUUGGGCACAACCCUGGUGCUUCAGCUACACUGGUGUGUAUACUCAGUGGUUUAAAAACACACCAUUUGUUGGACAUCAUUUGGUGGAUCAACAACACAGUGGUAACCCCUGAGAACAAUGCCAUUUGGAGUUCCAGGGGAAGUGAUGGCACGUACACAACUACCGGACUGUGGACUAUGUCUGGAAAGGACUGGAAUCCCUAUAGUAACUAUGAGUGUGGAACCAGACAUGAAGGAAAGCAUUAUAGAAAUGGUACACAGCCCUCACUUUGCAUGGAUUUUACUUGAUUACAAAUAUUUGUUAACCUAUCAAAAAUUAUCCUUAGCAUUUCAUGUACAAUCUUUACUAUUAUUAAAGUAUUCAUGAUGUUUCUUGAGUAUUUUAUUGAAAGAUCAGGUAGCCUAGUGGUUAGAGCUUUGGAAUAGUAACUGAAAGGUUGCAAGUUCAAAUCCCUGAGUUGACAAGGUACAAAUCUGUUGUUCUUCCCCUUAAGAGACAGUUAACCCACUGUUCCUAGGCUGUCACUGAAAAUAAGAAUUUGUUCUUAACUGAUUUGCCUAGUUAAAGAAAAAAAUACAAAUAAAUAAAUACAGAUUAUCAUUCUAGUUGCCAUUACCAUAUGUUGACACUAGAUGGUGCUCACUGCCUGCAGUUGUAGUGUUUGUGUUGAGUGAUGGUAAAUUCAUAUGCAUGGCAUCUCUGUUUCACAAACUCACUGAUUUCAACUGAGACAAUGCUGCUCUUGUUCCUGGAUGUAUCUCUCAACAACAAGCUGUUAUACAAAUGGUCAUAUGCACAAAGCUGAAUACUCUUUAGUUUAUGUUCCAAACAACAAUUGUGUUUCUGUCAGCCCUUUAAAAAUAUUUUUGCAUAAUUUAUAAGUUCAUAAUA